rnacentral:tRNA from 1 species
GCCUGGGUGGCUCAGUCGGUUAAGCGGCUGACUUCGGCUCAGGUCAUGAUCUCACGGUCCGUGAGUUCGAGCCCCACAUCGGGCU